rnacentral:rRNA from 1 species
CGUUGUCCGGAUUUAUUGGGCGUAAAGAGCGUGUAGGCGGUUCGGUAAGUCUGUCGUGAAAUCCUGAGGCUCAACCUUGGACGUGCGAUGGAUACUGCCGGGCUAGAGGAUGGUAGAGGCGAGUGGAAUUCUCGGUGUAGCGGUGAAAUGCGCAGAUAUCGGGAGGAACACCAGUAGCGAAGGCGGCUCGCUGGGCCAUUCCUGACGCUGAGACGCGAAAGCUAGGGGAGCGAACAGG